AUGUCUACUAUCCAAUGUAAUUCGUGUGCUUAUAUGAUUACCUUGAAUGUGAUUUGGAACGACUUCCUAAAUCUCAUUCAUACUCUAGCCAGAGAUUCUUAAUCAUAUCAUAGAGUAUUCUCCCCCAAACGGUUUGAAGGUUAGAGAUCCCUUGUUGCGCAUUCACUUGCCUCCAUGGCUAAGUGGCUUAACCCCAACUAUGCCAUGGACACCCUCCUUUUGGAGUGACUUUUGACAUAAUCAAAGAUCAAGGACUUAACCACAAGACAACUAUGAUGCCUCAGGUCAAAGGACUACUUUGCAUUAUCCCAACCAUGAGUUCUCAUGUGACAUGAAUAUGAGAAAUCUUCGUUGAUCGUGUUCAGUGAACUCAUUCUCUAUUGAGCACCUACGUACUUGUCUUGAUGUCACACACACCA
rnacentral:lncRNA from 1 species